CCUACGGGAGGCAGCAGUGGGGAAUAUUGCACAAUGGGCGCAAGCCUGAUGCAGCCAUGCCGCGUGUGUGAAGAAGGCCUUCGGGUUGUAAAGCACUUUCAGCGGGGAGGAAGGCGUUAAGGUUAAUAACCUUGGCGAUUGACGUUACCCGCAGAAGAAGCACCGGCUAACUCCGUGCCAGCAGCCGCGGUAAUACGGAGGGUGCAAGCGUUAAUCGGAAUUACUGGGCGUAAAGCGCACGCAGGCGGUCUGUCAAGUCGGAUGUGAAAUCCCCGGGCUCAACCUGGGAACUGCAUUCGAAACUGGCAGGCUAGAGUCUUGUAGAGGGGGGUAGAAUUCCAGGUGUAGCGGUGAAAUGCGUAGAGAGCUGGAGGAAUACCGGUGGCGAAGGCGGCCCCCUGGACAAAGACUGACGCUCAGGUGCGAAAGCGUGGGGAGCAAACAGGAUUAGAUACCCCGGUAGUC
rnacentral:rRNA from 1 species